rnacentral:lncRNA from 1 species
UACGUGAGUUUGGACACUCACUGCAGAAGUCCCUCCAGGUCCCUUUUCAACUGAGUUGUGGGGGACUUGCUUAGUCCUCACGCCCAGGGUCAGGGGAGGGGUGCAGAGUCUGCACCCUAAAUCCGCUAGGGCCAGAGGGAGGUCUCCCAGGUGACCUCUGUCCUCUCCAGUGACAUGAGUCCUCCCAGAUGGCCUCAGCCCUCUCAGGUGACAUGCUUCCAUGGUGACUCUGGCCCUUGCAGGAGGUGGGCUAGCACAGGGACAUGAGCUGCCUAACUGCCAUCCUCCUCCUGUAUCUGCCAGAGGAAGACACCUUCUGGGCACUGGAUCAGCUGAUGGCUGAGGAGAGGCACUCCCUGCAGGGUAGGCGGACAGCUACCCCCAGACCUCACACAGCCAGGCCAUGGGAUGGCCACCCUGGCUGGGCGAUCCUGACUUCCAGGCAAGGCAGCUUCCUUGCUUUCCAGCUUGUCAGGAGCCUUCAGGACAUCCCUGCUGAGGGUCCCACAGGAGCCCAGAGCUGAACAGGGACCCUUUCACUUCAAGGCAGGCACCUUUCAUCCCCAACAGCAGAGGGCACUGCAGCCUCCCCCUGGCCACCCGGUGUGUCCCAGAGCCACAGCUCUCUAGCCCUGAGUUCAUGCAGGUGACUGUCACUUCCGCAAGAGUCCUCCUACCUCCCAGCUGGCCACACUCCCAGCUGCCGUCCCAGCCCACAGAUGGGCCAAUGCAGUCGAGAUGGCAGUGUCUGCCCAACCCAUGUCCCCCAGCCCGACCCCAUG